ACUGCCUCUCCGCGUGGACCACAGGCCCUCAGGCUGACCUCGCUGUGCCUUCCCUCGUCAUGCUUCCAGGGCUCUUCCUUGUUGGUGGUGAAGUGGCCCUCUUCUGAGUCCAGUUAGAUUGUGGCAGCACUCACUGUGAAGUGCAAGUGGUCCUCAUGUCAUUUUUGUACCGGCCUACGGGGACCAUGACAGUAAGGAGGACUUUGAUAGAAGGAAUCGAUGGGAUACAUACAAACCGUGGUUAGCGUGGACCUGCUAAACACAGGCAGCUGACAGAGCUCACCGAAGAACACGCGGCUGCCGCCAGCACCCUGCGCAUCUGAGUGUGCGGCCCUAGUGGUCGGUUUCUCUGGUCAGAGAACAGGAUGGGCCCGUGAUGACGGUGAUAAAAUGCGAUAAAAUGCGUGCCUUUGUCUCUCCUUGGAAAUAACUGGUAGCCUCCAUUCCCGAAGCACUCUAGCAUCCACUCCAGCCAAUAAACGUCUUCCUUUAAUCUCCAGUGACGGAUAGCACCCUAAUCCCCGCACACAAGAAUGACUUCAACUCCUCUCUUUGCCAUCCCGGUUUUUUGACAUCCGUGGUCCACGAUCUUUAGUUUGUUUCAAAUGCAAAAAAAAUCGCUGUAGGGUGGGACCCUUGAAGGUUAAUCUGGCUUGUUUGCAUAUCAGAAGAAGGGCGUGGUCACUUUAAAGGCACAGCCAAUAAAAUGAGUUCCAUCACUUAUUUAUUAGAGAUCAGAACAAUUGUUCUUUUCUAGUUCCUCUCCCAGCUCACAAUCAAGCGCUCCUCAGAGCUAGGGGAAUCUUUUCAAGCUUCUCCCCCAGAACCAAGGGAAGUGAUUGUUCUUUUUCCUUUUCCUUGCUCUCCCCUAAAGGCAGUAUUUUUCCAAUUUAGACCCGCUCUUCCUCCGAAGGAAGCCAGCCCCGCCAGUUCUGCGCUUCCGAGCAGCGGACAGAAAAGGUGGCCGGCAGGUUUGCAGCUGAGCUUGUACCUCCACCUGUCCUCUUCCACAGUGCUGGGAGCCGCACAGCCACUCUGCCUGUUUUCUCCUCCUCUGUCCUUAGCAGCCCAGUCCUCACCAACAGCACCUCCACACGUCCCAGUUUUUGGACCUAAACUUCCUGCACAGUCUUAGUCUUUUUCCACUUAUAAAACUUCCACUUUUAUUUGCACUUCCGUCUUCAUCUCCUCACCUCUACUUUGUCCCGGCCUCUGUUAUCACCACUUCAGAGCACGUGGGCAGGGUGGCUGACACCUUCCACGCCGCACCCAAGACUAUUUUUUCCAGUUAUUACCUCACCUAACAA